UACGGGGGGGGCAAGCGUUGUUCGGAAUUACUGGGCGUAAAGGGCUCGUAGGCGGCCAACUAAGUCAGACGUGAAAUCCCUCGGCUUAACCGGGGAACCGCAUCUGAUACUGGAUGGCUUGAGUUCGGGAGAGGGAUGCGGAAUUCCAGGUGUAGCGGUGAAAUGCGUAGAUAUCUGGAGGAACACCGGUGGCGAAGGCGGCAUCCUGGACCGGUAUUGACGCUGAGACGCGAAAGCGUGGGGAGCGAACAGG
rnacentral:rRNA from 1 species